AUGGGAUGGUUGAGGCCGGGGCCACGCCCCCUCUGCCCCCCUGCGAGGGCAUCCUGGGCUUUCUCCCACCGCUUUCCGAGCCCGCUUGCACCUCGGCGAUCCCCGACUCCCUUCUUUAUGGCGUCGCUCCUGUGCUGUGGGCCGAAGCUGGCCGCCUGCGGCAUCGUCCUCAGCGCCUGGGGAGUGAUCAUGUUGGUGAGGGGACUCCCCGGCAAGGAUCGGAGAGGGCCUGAGGGGCUCCGGGCUGGGAGGGCUGGGAGGCGAGGAAACUCUGGGCCGCAGGCAGGCCGGAGGGGCCGGGGAUCUACAGGCCCCGGAGAAGGAGACAGACUGAAAUUGAAAAAUGGGAACUGUUCGAGACCAGCCUGACCAACAUGGUGAAACCCCGUCUCCAAUAAAAAUACAAAAAUUAGCCGGGCGUGGUGGCGCCCGCCUGUAAUCCCAGCUACUCAGGAGGCUGAGGCAGGAGAAUCGCUUGAAUCCGGGAGGCGGAGGGUGCAGUGAGCCGAGAUCGCGCCACUGCACUCCAGCCUGGGUGACAGAGCGAGACUCCGUCCCCAAAGAAAAAGAAAAAAGGGAACUGGAGCGGAGGGCCCUGGAGUGGGAGGAGCCAGGGCUGGUAAAGGUGGAGACCCCUCAAGGUAGGAGAAACAAGAGCGGGGUGCCUGAGAGGUGCUUGAGUUGAAUGGAGGACAUGGGAGGAAAAGAGAGUGCUUGUUCCAGAAAUGUGUAGCUGGGCCUUGUUUUCCCAGUAAUCCACCCACCGCCACUUCAAGAAGAAAUGAUAUGAAGAAGUGCCGGUUCUCCCUCCCCUCUUCCGCACUGUCCCGUGAUGAUGACGCCUCCAGAGAGGACGAUAAUCUGGGUUCCUGGGAGAGAUGGCUUGGUCACUAUUCCCACCCUUGCCUCGACCACUUGUCUCAAUGUCACCACCUCACGCCCUGUUCCAGGUGGCUGAGUCCGAAUCCAGAAUGGCCCCCAGAACAUAUACAACCUUUACGAGCAAGUCAGCUACAACUGUUUCAUCGCUGCAGGCCUUUACCUCCUCCUCGGAGGCUUCUCUUUCUGCCAAGUUCGGCUCAAUAAGCGCAAGGAAUACAUGGUGCGCUAGGGCCCCGGCGCGUUUCCCCGCUCCAGCCCCUCCUCUAUUUAAAGACUCCCUGCACCGUGUCACCCAGGUCGCGUCCCACCCUUGCCGGCGCCCUCUGCGGGACUGGGUUUCCCGGGCGAGAGACUGAAUCCCUUCUCCCAUCUCUGGCAUCCGGCCCCCGUGGAGAGGGCUGAGGCUGGGGGGCUGUUCCGUUUCUCCACCCUUCGCUGUGUCCCGUAUCUCAAUAAAGAGAAUCUGCUCUCUUCAG
rnacentral:misc_RNA from 1 species